GUGGGAGCCAACGUGCAGUCACAGGUGGAUACCCUUCGCCAUGUUAUCAGUCAGACAGGAGGAUACAGUGAAGGACUCACAGCCAACCAGAUGUACAGUCCGCAGGGCAUCAAUGCAAACGGUGGCUGGCAGGAUGCUCCGACCCCCCUCAUCAGUGACUUCGCCCACAGAAGGACCCGGAAGCGUUCACUCUGACACCUCCAACUGAUCCUCAACCCCCCGUCACUCCUCGUUCCUCUGCUUCCAACUUCUUCCACCACUGCACACCCAAACCACAUUUCCCAAAACCCCACGUGCCUACUGUAUGUAGUCACAUGGCAGGACACAGUUGGGAUGAGGGAUGACAUUUACGGACAAAUACUUAACUUUUCCUAUCUGACUACUGCAGCACCGUUAGCAGCCUGCAUAAGGGACUCACAUCCACACUUUGUACAGUUUCCACUCAAUGUCCAUGUUGCCUCUUUGUAUUUCUCUUACAUUAUAUUCACUCAGUCA